CUAGGCAUUGAACCACGGCUUGCAGCACAAACACCCACUGAGCCUCCUCAGCAGCCCUCGAAAUCAAGUCUGAUGGGGACCUGCGGCAUCACUGAGGCUGACAGUGUUAGGUUCACACUACGUGGAUUUCCUGAGUGACACCAGGGUCUGACAUCAUUGCUGACCCUCCGGUCUCUACCUUCCACGUGCUGGGAUCGUGGGCAUGUGCUGCCUCGUAUCACCUCAUGUCACUUCGUACCACUGCGUCUAGCUGAGUUCUGCUGUCUUGCCUGAGCUGAGGAUGUGAAAACCCUAAAGAGGAAGUGCACUGUAAAGGACUUUCCUUUUGAGGGCCUCAUCAUUCUAGAAGGUUCCUUCCCGCUGACCUCCUCCCCCAGGGCAGCUCCCCUGCAGUUGUUGUGGGUGUGCACCUGGUUUCUACCCACGUUGCUGGCCAGUUUGCCUAAUCCUGUGGCACUGUUAUGAAAUCCUAAUU
rnacentral:lncRNA from 1 species